GGAAGGGGUACAGUGGUUUGAGUGUUGGACUAUGACUCUGGAAGCCAGGGUUCGAUUCCCAGCUUGCCU